UACGUAGGGUGCAAGCGUUGUUCGGAAUUAUUGGGCGUAAAGCGCGUGUAGGCGGCUUUGCAAGUCGGGUGUGAAAGCCCUCGGCUCAACCGAGGAAGUGCGCCCGAAACUGCAGAGCUUGAGUACCGGAGAGGAUGGCGGAAUUCCCCAAGUAGAGGUGAAAUUCGUAGAUAUGGGGAGGAACACCGGUGGCGAAGGCGGCCACCUGGACGGAUACUGACGCUGAGACGCGAAAGCGUGGGUAGCAAACAGG
rnacentral:rRNA from 1 species